GUUGUACUAAACAGACACUUACACUGAAAGUGCCACAUGCUUAUUUUAUAUAUUUUAUAUAUUUUUGCUCUCGCAGCCUCAUAUCACUAUUGAGCACUGCAUGACAUUUAACCCAGCUACACUUUUACUUACGGCAGAGGAUGGUAAUCCACAUGAUUGUGUAGCAAAGACAGAUAACAACUAUGGCAGCCAGAGCUGACCUACGAGAUAUGCCUUUUCCAGAAGCUGAUUUAACUAUUUGUAACCGGCAGAAUCAUGGUCCUGUCAACCAGCAGCCACGGUAGAUUCUGUCUUGCUCUGCCACGCCCCCAAGUAGCACUCAGUGGUUGUGCAUUCAUUAGCACAAAAUGCCGCUCCUAUAUAACAGGCUCACCAGGUAGAUGGUAGCGAUCUCUGGGUUUUUACAUUUUUUCUCUCCAUGCUGUUGCUUCUACAAAGGUGUUGACAAUUCCCCAAACGCUUCCGGGUAGCAUGCGAGUUCUCUACUGAAGGUUUUGGUCGGACGACACUGAGCGAGACCCCGCGAUGGUACAUUGAGAAGACUGGUCGAGGUAAACUUUACUUGCAGAGUGAAAUGCUUGUGGGUGUGUAACUUCGUAUGGAUGAGUCACUGAUACGAAGUGACUGAUGGCGUUUACAUCUUCGUUUGUUUGCGGAUGAUCUGAAUGUCUGUUGUAACAUGUAUUUUAACUGUCUGCUCAUGUAGGUCUUGGUUGUGAGACACCCGAGAGCCAAUUGUCAGUUUGUUCUGUCGGUGCUGCAUGAAGGUAACGUGAGACAAUGUAAUGUCUUGCUCUGUCAAAUACAUGUUUACUCUGUAUGAUUUUAUACAUAACAGAUUUAGAGCGGUGUAUUUCUUUCUUCAGGAGAUUUGCCACUGCUGCUUUGUUUUGUUAGAAAUUUAGUUUCAUUUCAGUUGUUGUCCUUUGUAGUUUAUGGUUUGUUUGCUUGUGUGUUUGGUUUGACCUAGCGCUAAACCUAGGUGUGAGCUAGGUUUGGUGCACUACUUUCUAUUUUCUUUUAUUAUUUGUCCCCUCUCCUCCCUGCGGUGCUAGAGCGUUAGAUGUUGUAUUGGCUGCCCCAGCAUUGCUCCCUAGUUGGAAUAAGCGUCUUCAUAAACUGGAACUCUGCCUGGUUUAACCCCAACUCCUCUUCCCCCUUCCUCCCCAGAGUGUUGCAGCUGUCUGUGGGGCAGGUCGCCGUAUCUGAGUCCUCUUCGCGCACUGCAUGUCAUAUUGAGUGGUAACGUGCACCUCACCAUUGCUUUAAU